rnacentral:rRNA from 1 species
UGGAUCCAGACUUUGAUCACGGCUCAGGAUGAACGCUAGCGACAGGCUUAACACAUGCAAGUCGAGGGGCAGCGGGGAGCGAAGCUUGCUUUGCUCCGCCGGCGACCGGCGCACGGGUGAGUAACACGUAUGCAACCUGCCCCUGUCUGUGGGAUAAUCGGAAGAAAUUCCGUCUAAUACCGCAUAACGCCCUAAGAGGACAUCCUCUUAGGGCCAAAGGAGCGAUCCGGACAGGGAUGGGCAUGCGGCGCAUUAGGCAGUUGGCGGUGUAACGGACCACCAAACCGACGAUGCGUAGGGGUUCUGAGAGGAAGGUCCCCCACACUGGUACUGAGACACGGACCAGACUCCUACGGGAGGCAGCAGUGAGGAAUAUUGGUCAAUGGGCGGGAGCCUGAACCAGCCAAGUCGCGUGAGGGAAGACGGCCCUAUGGGUUGUAAACCUCUUUUGCCGGGGAGCAAGAGGCGCCACGCGUGGCGCCGUGAGAGUACCCGGAGAAAAAGCAUCGGCUAACUCCGUGCCAGCAGCCGCGGUAAUACGGAGGAUGCGAGCGUUAUCCGGAUUUAUUGGGUUUAAAGGGUGCGUAGGCGGGCUGUUAAGUCAGCGGUAAAAUUGCGGGGCUCAACCCCGUCGAGCCGUUGAAACUGGCGGCCUUGAGUAGGCGAGAAGUGUGCGGAAUGCGUGGUGUAGCGGUGAAAUGCAUAGAUAUCACGCAGAACUCCGAUUGCGAAGGCAGCACGCCGGCGCCUUACUGACGCUGAAGCACGAAAGCGUGGGUAUCGAACAGGAUUAGAUACCCUGGUAGUCCACGCAGUAAACGAUGAGCGCUAAUUGUCCGGGGGGGAAUGACCCCUGGGUGAUACAGUGAAAACGUUAAGCGCUCCACCUGGGGAGUACGCCGGCAACGGUGCAACUAAA